rfam:TPA: Bos taurus chromosome 23, whole genome shotgun sequence.
CAAAAGGCCCUUUUCAGGGCUUCCCAAUUUUCCUUGUAAGGAGCUGU